CCUUAAUAGUAUGGUUAAACAUUCCUCCCUGCCCUUGCUGCCGUUCAUCAGUGCCACGAUUUGAUAAAUGCUCCUCAUGUAUUGCAAAAUUCUUGAAACCCAAUUUAUUGUUGUAACCGUUGGAAUGUGAAAACAAUCAACAAUCAUUAUUACUUGAUUUAAUUUCAUUUGAAGGCCAUUCGUUUGCCAAAUCUUUAAAACCCUUCAUAUCAUUAUUGUUUUCUUUAUUUAAUUUCUAUGUUUCUCUAGAAGCCAGCGACCAGUCAUCGCACAACCACCAUCAAAUGCUGCACACUGUUGAUUCUCCGCCAAGUCGGCUCUGGUGGAUAGAACGAACGACGAAACGAGACCUGCCGAGAUGCGUGACAACGGCAUCCUACAAUUUUGGAUCACCAGGUUCAACUUACCCUUUUCAUCAUAAUCGAUAGUGGCUGCGUUAAUUAAUUCUAGGGUUCUGGCGAAGCCUCGGUCAUAGCCGCCUCCGUCGUCGGAACUAAUAGUUUCCUUCAUGAGAAACAUGUUUAGUUCAUGUGGGAUUGGAAUUGCAUUCUUUCAUAUGAUCCUUAAUCUUCCGCUCGCAAUUGCAAAUACGCUUACCGCCCGGUGAAAUGAUGGAAUUCCCUAAAUUGAUGAGAAAUGGGUGCUUCUCGGUUUCUGUAUAUACGCAGCUACACUGUAUCUGCAUUUUGCCACAUCAGUCAUUAUUCAUGAAAUAACAUCUCUUGGAAUCUACUGUUUUAGGGAUAAGAAUCGCAAAGAAAAAGGCCUGAGACAUGUUCAUGUUUGAUAUGAAGGUUACUACCAGCUCACAAAUUGGAAUUGGAUAUAUCUAAUAUACCCGAGUUUUGUGACCGGUUUCGUAUUUGUUGUUACAGAUUCGGCUGAUCGGAAUCAAGGGUUUCAAAUAAAGUGGUGGAACUUGCAUUAGUUAAUAGACCACAGAGUCAAAGUGGGAUUCAAGGAAACUUUGGGGGUGGUUUUUUGAGUCUUCGACUUGGAGGUAGUGAAGAAUCGGUAUCUACUUCACCUUGCGUCAUGGAUUUAUAGCGGAUUGAAUCAAGGUGAUACUGCUCUUCCAUUAAAGGGUUGGCCCUUGAGUGGAAUGGACGAUUUACACCCUAAUAUGGGUUUGCAAGUACAAAAGCUCAAUAUGCAGAAUCAACAUCAGUUCUAUUUGCCUUGAAACAUGCCCAGGCCCAAGGUAAUAUUGUAACUUCACCAAAUUAUGGGCUUGUUGGAUUAUCUAGAGGCAGUCUAAGUAUGAAAGAUGGUCAAACCACAAGAAAUGAUGGAUCCCCUGGUCAAAUGAAUUCACCCCAGGUUUUGUAUUAACUAUGAACUUAAUAACAAGCAUUAAAUAGUGUGAUUAUAUAAACCAUUAAAAGUACUUUAACGAACCACUAGCCCGCCGUAACUUAGAAAUUACACUACAUCAGUUUAUGAGCAGCAUCUGGUUAUGAGCCCGUAAAAUAUCACAGUCAAUGGCCCUUCAAACGAGUAUUUGGAAUUCAGGUCUGUUAUCAUCAAUCUUAUACCUCAUAAUCUCAAUGCUUUUUUUGAUCUUCAAUCUUAAGCAACGUAUUGUAAUUUUUCCAGGAGCCUGCUUUUGUCGCGUUUUCUGCACUUAACCUUGCAAUGCAUUUUCAUGGGUGGUUAUCGUUCUUCAUCCUCUUGCAUUACAAGCUGCCGGUGAAAGCAGAUAAAAAGCCGUACUAUGAGUAUGCCGGUCUAUGGCAUCUAUAUGCGCUCCUAGCCGUCAUUUGACGCCUCCCUCUACCCUUGAGAAAUCGGUGCCUCCAGGGUAUCUGAAAUUCAUUAGUAAUUUGGAAAAUGAGAUUUUAAAUGCGUCGAUAGAGAAGGAGAUUUUGAAGAUUGAAGUGAUGCGAGCCCAACUGAUGAUCAACAUUCGUCAGUGACUGCUUGACUAAGGAGAAUAAUGAAUUGAGGAAGGGUGUUUAGGUAAUUACAGCUCUAUACUUGUGUUCAUUAUUACUUUAACCAUGUAGCUAAUGAACACAACAAGGUUAUGGGGAAAGGGCCAUUUCUAGGUAACAUGACUCUUUAUCGCUUAUUUUUCUCAGAGAUCUUAGUCAAAUAAAGUCUUAUGUCAAGACCUUCUCCUGUUAUAAGCUGUGGAAAUGCUGCUAGAGUCGGUUAGUGCUGUUAAUCUAUGGUUAGAAGAGAUUAGUUCUGCUCUGUGUUUACAAGCAUAUUUGACAAACAAAAGAUAAAAAGUAUCUAAGCUGUCUUAAUGGCGAUACAUAUAAUAAUCUUGUGUAUAAUACUAAGUGAGAAUAUUUUCUUGAAGCCUGACGUUGCUAA